UGGGGAAUUUUGGACAAUGGGCGAAAGCCUGAUCCAGCCAUGCCGCGUGAGUGAAGAAGGCCUUCGGGUUGUAAAGCUCUUUUAGUCGGAAAGAAAGAGUUGCAAUGAAUAAUUGUGAUUUAUGACGGUACCGACAGAAAAAGCACCGGCUAACUCCGUGCCAGCAGCCGCGGUAAUACGGAGGGUGCGAGCGUUGUUCGGAAUUACUGGGCGUAAAGCGCGUGCAGGCGGUCUCUUAAGUCUGGUGUGAAAGCCCGGGGCUCACCCCCGGAAGGGCACUGGAGACUGGGAUGCUAGAGUACCGGAGAGGAAGGUGGAAUUCCUGGUGUAGCGGUGAAAUGCGUAGAUAUCAGGAGGAACACCGGUGGCGAAGGCGGCCUUCUGGACGGCUACUGACGCUGAGACGUGAAAGCGUGGGGAGCAAACA
rnacentral:rRNA from 1 species